CCAUUAGGUCCUCUGUCAUCCUUUUCCAGGACAUGUACUCUGCCCUCCACCCACCCCAGAAUCUUUUACUUUGGUGCAAUACACCAACUCCAGUUCAAGUUCUAUUUAGAACUCAGCACUCUUGUGGUGGGCCUUGGGUACAAGAUGACACCCCUCCAAAGGUGCCAAAGUUUCCCUAAAGCUGCCCUGGCCUCUGAGAGAGGUGGGCACUUAUUUUUAAUAGAACAUGCCUUAGGCGGUGGGAACCAGAUUAAAAGUGUUGAGGGCAACUUCUAUCUCCUGAGGGUUUUCACUAGAACAUAAGAAACAGGACACCCUUGCUGCUGUCCUGGGUUGCAGAGGACUGAGUGUGUAGGGGUCUGGUCCACAGGAAGGCACUACUUCCUUUUCUUUUUUUUUUUUUCUGCUGGGGAGGUUUGUCCAGUGUGUACUUACUCUGAGAACUAGCAUGUUAGAAGUUACCAAGGGUCUGGUCCCAGAGAGAUAAGAGUUCUGGUAGAAGGAAGCUCAAAGCUCUGUAGGGAGAGAGGGGCUAUGUACUGGUAAAAAAGGGAAAGGGAACUCAUUGAAAUAACCCUCAGCUGGAAGAGAGGAGGUGGGCUUUAGGGCAACUCUUGAUUUCACUGCUGUGGAUUAAAUAACUGAUGAGUUUCUUUGGGUCUUGGUUUCUCCAUCCACAAUGAGAGGCUCUAGGCACAAUAAGAGAUGCUUGCUUUCUUGCUGGUUCUGUGAGCAGCUUGAAGAGGACAUGAAGUAGACAAGCAGAUACACGAAACUGAAAACAAUUCAAAGAAAAGAGUAAACGUUAGAUCUUCCUGUGAUAUGAAUUUGGUUGACCUUUCUUGGAGGCUGCUGGCAUCAGGCACCUGGGGGAACACCAAGCAGACAAGGUUGUUGGUGCAUGUCCUGGGACUGUCUGCACUGAAGGGACUCUGACCGCUGAUGGACCUGCAAGUGAGAGGUAAGCAACUAGAAAAGAGGGAAGCCCACAGUGGGAGGUCACUUCACAGACACAGGAGAGAAUGUUGGAGGCCUUCUGCACAACUCUGAACUUGUGCAAUGGGCUGCUGAUUUCUCAUCGUCCUCUGAGGUAGGUUUCAGUUUCAUAAUGAGCCUUCAUGAAAAUAACCAACUUGGUGACAACCAAAGGCCUUGUGGAGGCAGCUGAAUGGAAAACUGAUCUCUGAAAAACCCAACUAUCUUUACCUUCUCAGGGCCAAAUGUUUCCCUCAUGCAGGGUGAUCUCUGGGUCUCCUCGCCACACCCUGACUCCCCCACCUGGCUUUUCCUGAGGAGGAUGUCACAUUUGGGUGGAGAUUUUCCACCCAGCUGGGCGAUUUCUGUUUUUGUUAUCAUAGACUUCUUAACAAGCUCUCUGGGGAUAGUGAUCUUUCUUUCUUUCUUUCUCUUUCUUUCUUUCUUUCUUUCUUUCUUUCUUUCUUUCUUUCUCUCUUUCUUUCUUUCUCUCUUUCUUUUUUUUUGGUGGGGGGAGGGCACCCUCUGUCAAUAGUUAGGUGUUUCAGGGAUGGCUGGUGAUUCAAGAUGACUGACCGAGUGAGGGAUGCUAUGGUGUCUCCUUUUUUGGUUUGAGUUGGCUUUCACAUAACUGCACGGGCUACUUUCACAAAGCAGUGGAGACACAGAGCACAUGCUGUUGCUUUGCGCACCCUGUUAUUCUACACACACCCUCCCACCCCCAAUGCCCAUGUUUAUGUGCUCUGUGUCCCCUACCUCAGUCCUUCCCCCAACUUCCCCCCACAUGAAUUUUGAGAACAAUGAAAAGUAUGAACUAUGGGCUCACCAAACUUCCUCCCCUGAGCACUUCCGACUGCCUAGCAGAAAUCAAUAAAUUAAGAUGAAUAAAAGGACAUUUGGCUUUGUCUGGAUUGUGUUGUCAGGAUAGUACAGAAGGGCUGGU